UACGUAGGGGGCAAGCGUUGUCCGGAUUCAUUGGGCGUAAAGAGCGUGUAGGCGGCCAGGUAGGUCGGUUGUGAAAACUGGAGGCUCAACCUUCAGAGGUCGACCGAAACCAUCUGGCUAGAGUCCGGGAGAGGAGAGUGGAAUUCCUGGUGUAGCGGUGAAAUGCGCAGAUAUCAGGAGGAACACCUAUUGCGAAGGCAGCUCGCUGGGACGUAACUGACGCUGAGACGCGAAAGCGUGGGGAGCAAACAGG
rnacentral:rRNA from 1 species